GGGCGCUCUCCCAUAAGCUGCUGUGGUAAAUCCUCACCUGCUUUGUUGUCUUCAGUCGGUGUGCCCAACAGCUCUGGCAGGAACUGAAGCAGGGAAGUGCUUCUUAGGCGGCCCAACCGCUCCAGAUUUAAUCUUGAAUCUUCAUCCGCUGCAAAUGGAAGAUGACAGAAACAGGCAUAAGAUCGUUCUUGAAGAAUGUUUUUUGACCAAGAGCAGCCCCUCCCAUUGCUUGAGGAACUCACAGCCUAAUCCUUCUGGUACCCAGCUGUAGACAACCUAGACUUGCUAGAGACUCUUUAUAUUCGCAAGGAAGAUUUAAUAAGCUUAAUGGAUGUCUUCAAACAAAUGCAGUAAUUGUUAGAGCCAGCGUGUUCACCCUGUGAUGUGAUAGAUGUUGUCCAUACUGAGUCAUGGCUGUCUGUAAAGGCAAGUUACAUAGUGGGAGGCUUGAGAAGAUGCUGGCUUAGUGAGUCCAAACUUUUCGAAGCAAACUGGGAACUACUGAUGCCUAUAGACCAGCACAACAACGGUUGCACCUGCCAAGCAGCAUUUCACAUCUAUUUAUUUGAGAAGACCUCAUCCAAUGCUGCCCUAGAGAAUUGUCUUGGCAGAGAAAGUACAGCUUCCAUCUGGAGACUUGCUUGACCAAGGAGUGACUGGACUCACCUUUGUUCUCUACGAAGCAUCCUAUCCAACUGUAUAGAACCUUGAAAACUAAAAAAAGAGGUCCGGUAUUGGCUUGUGGAACACGUGCUGCAGGUGUCUGAACUACAAAUCCUGUUUCUCUGGACUUCUCUCUGCUGAAUUUGGUGAGAAAAUGGACGUCCUCGGCAAAUAGAGCUAUGAGUUCAGCAUUGCUUUCUGUUCUCCUCCAUCCUUGAGCACGCAUCUCUGCUUCCCUGUGGUUCUGGCCUCAAGAGACCCCAGCUUCCAGUGAGCGUUGGUCCUGUCCCUGCUGGUCCAUGUUCCCGGGUUGUCCAAUAGCAUCUGUAGUUCCAGGACAGAAGGAUGCUCAGCCAUCUGUUCCUGACGCGCAGCUGCCACAAACCCGGCGGGACGGAGAACCCCCUUGGAUGGACUCUGAGGAAAGCGCCGUAUCAGGGAAGGCUUGCUGGUAGAGAGAGGGGAACUGAGGUAACACUUGGUGACAGAGUGAGACUUUGUAUAAUUUUAAUAGAGAAACUUACCUUGACUCCCUAUCACUUGUUUGAAAUGCCAGCGGAGCGGUACAAGUGCCUAUUUAACACCAUUGCCUGUGUGUCGUCACGCAGGAGUCGUCCUCCUGUGGAGGUGUCGUGGAUCGGGCUUUCACGUCGUUAGUGUUAGUAUCAGAAUGACUGUCAGAGGCGGCUGUGCUUCUGUC